CCCCGAGUGACCCAUCUGCCCUAUCCCUAACCCGCUCUCGUCUCCCUCUAGGACGCAGCAACCCACCGAAUCAAAUCCCGUCGCCGGGCUCGUCUGCCUCGCCGUGGCCGAUGAAUGCGUCGGCUGCGGCCACGCCCCCUCUCCAAACGGCGGCGAUGAUGGAGGGAGCAGCUCACGCUGCCAGGCUCCCGACCGAACGCGUCGGGUCCUCUCUCCUCGAGGCCAACCCCUCCUAUUCAUCGCAUCUCUCCCUGACUCCGUCUCCUCCACGAGAUCAAGAUGUAGCACCAACCCACGCCAUGGACGCCCUUGCCAGCUGCAUCUCUCCAUGCGCCGCCACUCCUAUGACACCGCCGCCCGGCAGUCUCCACCAGCACCACGACGGGCGUGGCCUCUGCACGCGCCGUCACCUCCCCUCCAGAUCCGGUCGUCGUCGAGGGCAUAUCCAUCCAGCAGUGCGGCGUCACCUCCCCUCCAGAUCCAGCCAUCGUCAAGGGCGUGUCCAUCCAGCAGCGCGCCGUCAUCCCAAUCAUCACCGUCCACGGCGUCAUCGCCCAGGCCCAGUCAGGGGCCGGCAAGACCUCCAUGAUCUCCCUCUUUGUCUGCCAGGUCAUUGAGACCAACGUCCACGAGUGAUUUCUGCAUAGCUUUUGUGUAUGACGGCUGGAGGACCAACUCAGACCUCGCUUGCCUCAGGGUCAGGAGGUCCAAGGCGCCACAAGACCGGGCCAGGAGUUUGUGUAAACCUGGGCCAGGAGUUUAUUUGAUAAAGGUUUCAAUUUGCGCCCCAUUUCAUGGAUUAACGAUGCCAAGAGCAUACCAUUUAUACAAAGUCCCAAGAUCGAUGUCUUCUCACAUAUCUCACAUAAUAACUACUUGUGCUCUGUUUUUUUCUUUGUAUUCGGUUUCCAGAAUGAUUGGCCACACCUACCUAAUAAGUUCGGAAUUUAACCAUGAGCCCCUUCUGGCUUGGUUCCAUAUUCCAAGGCCCUUCCAUAAUCCAAUUCUUUGUCCCGAACCAUCCAUUGAAGAACAUAGAGUGUGCAGAAUAUCAGUUUGUUAUAUUUGCAUCAAAUGAACUAUGGGAGCACUUGAACAAUCAGGAAGUUGUGGAUAUAGUUCAUUGUUCACCUCGGAAUGUAAGAUGAUUUGCCAUACUUCCUCAUAUAUUACUCUUUCCCAGUGUACUAAAAUAUGCUUCUCAUUUUAGUCUUGCCUUAUAUUGUUGAUAUGUAACCCAAAUAGGUUAAACCGAAUGCUGUAUCGAAACAUGUAGUAUUUACUUGUAAAAGAGCAACUGAGAGCCUGGUGGGUCGGGAUGAAGGAAGAAUACCCCUGAGAGCCCAAACUCAAGUUCGAAAAUAUAUGCAGAAUAUAUGUUUGCCUCUGCUAUAUACAUAUGUAAUUUUCCAGUCUGUGUUUUCUGCUCCUCUUUGGCGCAAUGUGGAAGAUGUUGGUUUUAAAGGCUAGCAGGGCAGCCAGUGGUGGAGUAAUCAGUCGUUUAUGAGGUCAUGGAGCCCAAGACCGGAUGCAGCAGAAGAAGCAGCGUCGUUGCCGUGCACUAAGAAGGUCAACAGAGUCUGUGAGGCGGAAGAUCCAUAGCAUACAGCGGAUGCGUUGGAUAUGCCAUUCCUCAAUGUGUACCUGGAUUCUCUUUGGGCACCUAAUUUUUGGGCAGGUGUUAUGCUAGCAGCCCGCUUCGCUUUGGUCUUCAGAUUAAGCAAUUCUCUGCAUUCAAGGGAAAUGUCAAUAGCUGCUCUCCAAAGCCAACGUCGGUCUGUAGUCAUCUGCUGCGUCAGGUUGGCCACGACGAGGAGACGGACGCGACUGCGUCGUCCCAUCGACCUCCGGGGCCUUUGAUAUCUCAGGGUGUGUGUCAUGUUAUGUUGGGUUUCCUGUGAUUUCGGUGCGGGUAGCUACAUAGCGUCCGUGGGCCAUGCGUGUGACAUGCAUGCUAGGUAAUCUUGACUCCGGUGCAACGGUGCUGGAACCGCCUCCGCUGGUUACGACCGCCGUGGCUAUGCUUGAAGGCAGAAUCACCACGAUGACUGUAGUGGCCGCACUCAGAUCAGAACGGCAGCCACGGUAUAUGAUCAAGCCUUUACUGUCGUCCUUUGAAUUUGGGAUCACGUGCAUCUGCAAGAGAAAGAGCAUGAGAGCCUAAGAGGGUAGUACCACAUUACGAACAAGUUGUUUUUUAUCCAUGGAAUUGAUCUGAUGCGAAGCUGAUGCCACAUAAAAGGCAUCUAGCUGCAGGCGGAAUAACAAGAUUCAGUGUGUGCAACGACAACAAUAAAUAACAUGUCAUUAGGGAGACUUCUGACAAUUGAACCCUGCAUUUUUUUGGCAUUAGUACAACUCUUCUACUGCAUUAUUCAACUAUGGGCGAUGAAGCUGAUAUAGGGUGUGGACUAGACAAUUUAUUCAGUUUUCUUCAAGAAGGACCAAGGAAUGAACACGAAGCAAAUUAUAACUCUCAGGUUCAUGGUUUAGGAGCAGGAAAGAACACUUCCAAUUGUGUAGAUGGGUCAUCCGUAGCAUUUCUCUAAUUAUCCUUAUAGAGACUGAUUUGGAUUGUUGAAGGAAAGGAUCUCAAUUCUCAAUAGCAAACCGCACUGGGACAUCUUGGACCUAUUCUCCACAUUUCUGAGCUAGAUAUGUUGGUGAGCGAGCAGGCGGCGCUAGACAUGGCAGGGCAAGAGAGCACGAGGGAGAAUGUCAAAGGGGGCAACAUAAAUGAGAGUUCACCAUUAUGCUCGUGUGGUCAGAACCUAGAGCAUGGAUACAAGACCUCCAUCAUCGUCUAUGGACAUCAGAGCAGAGGAGAAGUGAUGAUGGACAUCAGACCAGUGAAGACAGUGAGCAUGGGCUCCUAGACGAUACUUAUCAUAUCAUAUUCUCAGUAUAUAGUCAAAAACUGUAUGCCACAUACGUUGUGAAUUACUAUGUUAUUUGAUCAUUGAAUUUAUUUCUAAAAAAAUAUGUGGCAACACACGACAUUCAACUAUAACUUCAACUUCAAGGGUGAA